UACGGGGGGGGCAAGCGUUGUUCGGAAUUACUGGGCGUAAAGGGCGCGUAGGCGGCCUGCUAAGUCGGACGUGAAAGCCCCCGGCUCAACCGGGCGGAUGCGGGUGAAACCGCGCGACUGGAGGGUGGGAGAGGUCGGCGGAAUUCCCGGUGUAGUGGUGAAAUGCGUAGAUAUCGGGAGGAACACCCGUAGCGAAGGCGGCCGACUGGACCACACCUGACGCUGAGGCGCGAAAGCGUGGGGGAGCGAACAGG
rnacentral:rRNA from 1 species